rnacentral:rRNA from 1 species
UGAGGAAUAUUGGUCAAUGGGGCGAGAGCCUGAACCAGCCAAGUAGCGUGCAGGACGACGGCCCUAUGGGUUGUAAACUGCUUUUAUACGGGAAUAAAGUGAUGCCUGCGGGCGUUAUUGCAUGUACCGUACGAAUAAGGACCGGCUAAUUCCGUGCCAGCAGCCGCGGUAAUACGGAAGGUCCGGGCGUUAUCCGGAUUUAUUGGGUUUAAAGGGAGCGUAGGCUGUCCUUUAAGCGUGUUGUGAAAUGUAGGCGCUCAACGCCUGCACUGCAGCGCGAACUGAAGGACUUGAGUGUGU